GAAAACCUGAUCAUAAGUGUUUUUAGUCCAUUAGCCAUUCAGCUUUAUUUAUGUUCCCUUUCAGGCAGGAUUUGAAGCCAAUAUGGAAAAGAUGAAGUUUGGAAGAAGAGCAACACAAGAUGGAAAUCACAUUGUCCUCUGGAGUUUGUAUCCAAGGUUUUAUCCAAGAGGGCCACCAGCUUGGAAAUCAACUCUUCUAUCAAGUUUAACAUCCUUGUCAUCAACAAUUCCAGCUUAGCAACCAAUUAGAACUUCUAUGGUUGAUGACCUUGAAAAACCUACAUGAACCACCAGAAGCAAGCAACUGCUGGAGAAGGCGGGAGGACAGUAACAAUGAAGGGUUACAAUAAAUUUUGUAUUUCUUACA
rnacentral:lncRNA from 1 species